CCUGGGGAGGCUUUGGAAAAUGAAGCACCGUUUUGAAGUGACGGGGAAGGACCUAGUUCCCCCUAG
rnacentral:tRNA from 1 species